GACGAACGCUGGCGGCGUGCCUAACACAUGCAAGUCGAGCGAUGAAGCCCUUCGGGGUGGAUUAGCGGCGGACGGGUGAGUAACACGUGGGUAACCUGCCUCAAAGAGGGGGAUAGCCUCCCGAAAGGGAGAUUAAUACCGCAUAAUAUCAUGUUUUCGCAUGAAGAUAUGAUUAAAGGAGCAAUCCGCUUUGAGAUGGACCCGCGGCGCAUUAGCUAGUUGGUGAGGUAACGGCUCACCAAGGCCACGAUGCGUAGCCGACCUGAGAGGGUGAUCGGCCACAUUGGAACUGGGACACGGUCCAUACUCCUACGGGAGGCAGCAGUGGGGAAUUUUGCACAAUGGGCGAAAGCCUGAUGCAGCAACGCCGCGUGAGUGAUGACGGCCUUCGGGUUGUAAAACUCUGUCUUUGGGGACGAUAAUGACGGUACCCAAGGAGGAAGCCACGGCUAACUACGUGCCAGCCGCCGCGGUAA
rnacentral:rRNA from 1 species